rnacentral:misc_RNA from 1 species
AGUUGGUACUGAUGAGUGUAUAGGUUCUCCACUUCUCUGUUUCUUUAUGAUGGGAGAUUCAGUCUUUCUUUCUUAUAUAUUACUUCACAUUCUCAUUUCUAUAUUACUUCACUCUUCAACCUCCAUUACAUUACCCACAUUCUCCUUUACUAAAAAAAUUAAAAAUUCAAGGCCUUUUCAUUGUUGCACCUUCAACAGCUUUUCUCUUCUCUUCAAUAUUAAUGAUCCAGUAGAUACUAGUGCUUUCCGGU